rnacentral:rRNA from 1 species
GACGAACGCUGGCGGCGUGCUUAACACAUGCAAGUCGAACGGAAAGGCCCUGCUUUUGUGGGGUGCUCGAGUGGCGAACGGGUGAGUAACACGUGAGUAACCUGCCCUUGACUUUGGGAUAACUUCAGGAAACUGGGGCUAAUACCGGAUAGGAGCUCCUGCUGCAUGGUGGGGGUUGGAAAGUUUCGGCGGUUGGGGAUGGACUCGCGGCUUAUCAGCUUGUUGGUGGGGUAGUGGCUUACCAAGGCUUUGACGGGUAGCCGGCCUGAGAGGGUGACCGGCCACAUUGGGACUGAGAUACGGCCCAGACUCCUACGGGAGGCAGCAGUGGGGAAUAUUGCACAAGGGGCGGAAGCCUGAUGCAGCAACGCCGCGUGCGGGAGGACGGCCUUCGGGUUGAAACCGCUUUCGCCUGUGACGAAGCGUGAGUGACGGUAAUGGGUAAAGAAGCACCGGCUAACUACGUG